UACGUAGGGGGCUAGCGUUGUCCGGAAUCAUUGGGCGUAAAGAGCGCGUAGGCUGCUCGGUAAGUCCGCUGUAAAAGUCAAAGGCUUAACCUUUGAAUGUCAGUGGAAACUGCCGGGCUAGAGUCCGGAAGAGGCGAGUGGAAUUCCUGGUGUAGCGGUGGAAUGCGCAGAUAUCAGGAGGAACACCGGUGGCGAAGGCGGAUCUCUGGGCCUUACCUGACGCUCAGGCACGAAAGCUAGGGGAGCGAACAGG
rnacentral:rRNA from 1 species